AGUGAACGCUGGCGGUAGGCCUAACACAUGCAAGUCGAACGGCAGCACAGUAAGAGCUUGCUCUUACGGGUGGCGAGUGGCGGACGGGUGAGGAAUACAUCGGAAUCUACUUUUUCGUGGGGGAUAACGUAGGGAAACUUACGCUAAUACCGCAUACGACCUACGGGUGAAAGCAGGGGAUCUUCGGACCUUGCGCGAUUGAAUGAGCCGAUGUCGGAUUAGCUAGUUGGCGGGGUAAAGGCCCACCAAGGCGACGAUCCGUAGCUGGUCUGAGAGGAUGAUCAGCCACACUGGAACUGAGACACGGUCCAGACUCCUACGGGAGGCAGCAGUGGGGAAUAUUGGACAAUGGGCGCAAGCCUGAUCCAGCCAUACCGCGUGGGUGAAGAAGGCCUUCGGGUUGUAAAGCCCCUUUGUUGGGAAAGAAAAGCAGCAGGUUAAUACCCCGCUGUUCCGACGGUACCCAAAGAAUAAGCACCGGCUAACUUCGUG
rnacentral:rRNA from 1 species